GACGAACGCUGGCGGCGUGCUUAACACAUGCAAGUCGAACGGAAAGGCCCUGCUUUUGUGGGGUGCUCGAGUGGCGAACGGGUGAGUAACACGUGAGUAACCUGCCCUUGACUUUGGGAUAACUUCAGGAAACUGGGGCUAAUACCGGAUAGGAGCUCCUGCUGCAUGGUGGGGGUUGGAAAGUUUCGGCGGUUGGGGAUGGACUCGCGGCUUAUCAGCUUGUUGGUGGGGUAGUGGCUUACCAAGGCUUUGACGGGUAGCCGGCCUGAGAGGGUGACCGGCCACAUUGGGACUGAGAUACGGCCCAGACUCCUACGGGAGGCAGCAGUGGGGAAUAUUGCACAAUGGGCGGAAGCCUGAUGCAGCAACGCCGCGUGCGGGAUGACGGCCUUCGGGUUGUAAACCACUUUCGCCUGUGACGAGGCGUGAGUGACGGUAAUGGGUAAAGAAGCACCGGCUAACUACGUG
rnacentral:rRNA from 1 species